rnacentral:rRNA from 1 species
UUGGGCUGCUCUUUGCCAGACUCGUCUGAUUUCAGAAGCUAAGCUGGUUUUGAACUCGUUAGGCCUUGGAUGGGAGACCACUAGGAAAUGCCAGUGCAGCAUGCU